rnacentral:rRNA from 1 species
CCUACGGGAGGCAGCAGUGGGGAAUUUUCCGCAAUGGGCGAAGGCCUGACGGAGCAAUACCGCGUGAGGGAGGAAGGCUCUUGGGUCGUAAACCUCUUUUCUCAGGGAAGAAGAAAGUGACGGUACCUGAGGAAUAAGCAUCGGCUAACUCCGUGCCAGCAGCCGCGGUAAUACGGAGGAUGCAAGCGUUAUCCGGAAUGAUUGGGCGUAAAGGGUCCGCAGGUGGCUGUGUAAGUCUGCUGUUAAAGAGUCAUGCUUAACAUGAUAAGAGCAGUGGAAACUACAUAGCUAGAGUACGUUCGGGGCAGAGGGAAUUCCUGGUGUAGCGGUGAAAUGCGUAGAUAUCAGGAAGAACGCCGGUGGCGAAAGCGCUCUGCUAGGCCGUAACUGACACUGAGGGACGAAAGCUAGGGGAGCGAAUGGGAUUAGAUACCCCAGUAGUCCUAGCCGUAAACGAUGGAUACUAGGCGUGGCUUGUAUCGACCCGAGCCGUGCCGUAGCUAACGCGUUAAGUAUCCCGCCUGGGGAGUACGGCACGCAAGUGUGAAACUUAAANGAAUUGACGG